rnacentral:rRNA from 1 species
GACAGAGGGUGCAAACGUUGUUCGGAAUUACUGGGCGUAAAGCGCGUGUAGGCGGCUAAGUAAGUCGGGCGUGAAAUCCCACGGACUCAACCGUGGAAGUGCACUCGAAACUGCAUAGCUAGAGUCCUGGAGAGGAAGGUGGAAUGCUUGGUGUAGAGGUGAAAUUCGUAGAUAUCAAGCGGAACACCGGUGGCGAAGGCGGCCUCUGGACCGAGUGACUGACGCUGAGACGCGAAAGCGUGGGAGCAAACAGG